AGUGGGGGAUAUUGCACAAUGGGGGAAACCCUGAUGCAGCGAUGCCGCGUGAAUGAUGAAGGCUUUCGAGUCGUAAAGUUCUGUUCUUAGGGAAGAUAAUGACGGUACCUAAGAAGAAAGUCCCGGCUAAAUACGUGCCAGCAGCCGCGGUAAUACGUAUGGGACAAGCGUUAUCCGGAAUUAUUGGGCGUAAAGAGUUCGUAGGCGGUUCUUUAAGUCAGAAGUGAAAGGCAGUGGCUCAACCAUUGUAAGCUUUUGAAACUGGGGAACUUGAGUGUUGGAGAGGAAAGCGGAAUUCCUAGUGUAGCGGUGAAAUGCGUAGAUAUUAGGAGGAACACCAGUGGCGAAGGCGGCUUUCUGGACAAAUACUGACGCUGAGGAACGAAAGCGUGGGGAGCAAACAGGAUUAGAUACCCUGGUAGUCCACGCCGUAAACGAUGAGUGCUAGGUGUUGGGGUAGCGAUACCUCAGUGCCGCAGCUAACGCAUUAAGCACUCCGCCUGGGGAGUACGGUCGCAAGACUGAAACUCAAAGGAAUUGACGGGGGCCCGCACAAGUAGCGGAGCAUGUGGUUUAAUUCGAAGCGACGCGAAGAACCUUACCAGGUCUUGACAUCCCGGUGCCCGGUCUAGAGAUAGAUCUUUCUCUUCGGAGACACCGGUGACAGGUGGUGCAUGGUUGUCGUCAGCUCGUGUCGUGAGAUGUUGGGUUAAGUCCCGCAACGAGCGCAACCCUUAUCUUUAGUUGCCAGCAUUUAGUUGGGCACUCUAGAGAGACUGCCGGUGAUAAACCGGAGGAAGGUGGGGAUGACGUCAAAUCAUCAUGCCCCUUAUGACCUGGGCUACACACGUGCUACAAUGGUCGGUACAGAAGGCAGCGAAGGAGCGAUCCGGAGCGAAUCUCAAAAGCCGAUCUCAGUUCGGAUUGCAGGCUGCAACUCGCCUGCAUGAAGCUGGAGUUACUAGUAAUCGCGAAUCAGAAUGUCGCGGUGAAUGCGUUCCCGGGCCUUGUACACACCGCCCGUCACACCACGGGAGUUGGUAAUACCCGAAGUCGCUGAGCUAACCCUUUUGGGAGGCAGGCGCCGAAGGUAGGAUUGAUGACUGGGGUG
rnacentral:rRNA from 1 species